rnacentral:rRNA from 1 species
AUUGAACGCUGGCGGCAUGCUUUACACAUGCAAGUCGAGCGGCAGCGCGGGGGCAACCCUGGCGGCGAGCGGCGAACGGGUGAGUAAUGCAUCGGAACGUGUCCCGUGGUGGGGGAUAACCCGGCGAAAGCCGGGCUAAUACCGCAUAUGCUCUGAGGAGGAAAGUGGGGACCCGCAAGGGCCUCACGCCAUGGGAGCGGCCGAUGUCCGAUUAGCUUGGUUGGUGGGGUAAGGCUUACCAAGGCGACGAUCGGUAGCUGGUCUGAGAGGAUGAUCAGCCACACUGGGACUGAGACACGGCCCAGACUCCUACGGAGGCAGCAGUGGGGAAUUUUGGACAAUGGGGGCAACCCUGAUCCAGCCAUGCCGCGUGC